rnacentral:rRNA from 1 species
AGCCUGAACGCUGGCGGCGUGGCUAAGACAUGCAAGUCGCACGGGUGUAGCAAUACACCAGUGGCGCACGGGUGAGUAAUGUAUCGCUAAUGUACCCUUAGGCCUGGGAUAGCUAAUCGAAAGGUUAGGUAAUACCAGAUGAAAUAACCCCUUGGCAUCUUGGGGUUCUCAAAGCAGCAAUGCACCUUUGGAGCAGGCGAUAUCGUAUCAGGUAGUUGGUAGGGUAACGGCCUACCAAGCCGACGACGCGUAGCUGGUCUGAGAGGACGGCCAGCCACAUCGGGACUGAGACACUGCCCGGACUCCUACGGGGGGCUGCAGUAACGAAUCUUCCGCAAUGUACGAAAGUAUGACGGAGCGACGCCGCGUGUAGGACGAAGUCCUUCGGGAUGUAAACUACUGUCAGGGGUUACCAAGUUCUGAGGAGCCCCAGAGGAAGGCACGGCUAACUCUGCGCCAGCAGCCGCGGUAA